rnacentral:rRNA from 1 species
GCCUACGGGGGGCAGCAGUGGGGAAUAUUGCACAAUGGGGGAAACCCUGAUGCAGCGACGCCGCGUGAGCGAAGAAGUAUUUCGGUAUGUAAAGCUCUAUCAGCAGGGAAGAAAAAUGACGGUACCUGAGUAAGAAGCACCGGCUAACUACGUGCCAGCAGCCGCGGUAAUACGUAGGGGGCAAGCGUUAUCCGGAUUUACUGGGUGUAAAGGGAGCGUAGACGGCUGUGCAAGUCUGAAGUGAAAUGCCGGUGCUCAACCCCGGAACUGCUUUGGAAUCUGUACAGGUAGAGUGCUGGAGGGGG